rnacentral:rRNA from 1 species
AUUGAACGCUGGCGGCAUGCCUUACACAUGCAAGUCGAACGGCAGCACGGGAGCAAUCCUGGUGGCGAGUGGCGAACGGGUGAGUAAUAUAUCGGAACGUGCCCAGUCGUGGGGAUAACGUAGCGAAAGCUACGCUAAUACCGCAUACGAUCUAUGGAUGAAAGCGGGGGAUCGCAAGACCUCGCGCGAUUGGAGCGGCCGAUAUCAGAUUAGGUAGUUGGUGAGGUAAAGGCUCACCAAGCCGACGAUCUGUAGCUGGUCUGAGAGGACGACCAGCCACACUGGGACUGAGACACGGCCCAGACUCCUACGGGAGGCAGCAGUGGGGAAUUUUGGACAAUGGGCGCAAGCCUGAUCCAGCAAUGCCGCGUGCAGGAUGAAGGCCUUCGGGUUGUAAACUGCUUUGUUACGGAACGAAACGGCGAGCUCUAAUACAGUUGCUAAUGACGGUACCGUAAGAAUAAGCACC